rnacentral:lncRNA from 1 species
UUAAGUCUCAAAAUCCAAAUGAACCGAACAAGAUCGACUCGAACUAGACGUCAAUUAAUGCACGCGUGUCACCUGAUCCACAUAUGCACGGAUUCUUUUUUGCAUGAGAAAUUUAUGAUAUAUUAAUGCAGAACAAAACAUUUUUAGUAUUUGUCAGUAUUUGUAAAAAUCGCUGCACAUUUAUUUAAUCCUGAAUUCCACAGACUCAAAUUGAAAGGCAUUUGUUUGUGGUUAGUAAGAUACAUGUAUAAAAUGUAUGCAGUACAUGGAUAAUUGUGCGUGCGUCUAUUAAUCAUUUUGAGCCUAAUAUCAUCCCAUAGCACUCACUCACCCUGUUGAAGAGCAGCAGGUGGCGGUGCAGCGGCGUCACGAGUGGGUAAUGGCAGGCAGGGGGCGUCGCUGAGCUCUACAAACAUCAGGUUUGUCAAUCAGCUUUCAGUGGACAAUGCGACUGACACGUGUAGGAAUGAUGCACACAGAUCACGACACAAGAACAGAUAAAGGUGACACGCAGCCAUGACAGAUGCAAUGCUAAAGGUGCUAAGAUAGGCUUACGUCCCACACGGAGUCCAGACAGCGCAGCGGCCGACACACACACAGCUCUGUGACUGGAGGAGAAACAGGUGUUAGAUAGCCCAUAUUAGAUCAGCCUCUGCCACUGCCAACACACACAUACACACACACACACACACACACACACACACACACUCUCUCUCUCACGCACUCAGUCACUCACUCACACACACACACACACACACACACACAGUGAUGCCGCUGUGAGCCUGCGUGAGGAAACAUCAUGCGUGAAGGCAUGUUUACAAAGAACCAUUCAGUCCAACAAACCAGAGACAGAAGAUGUGCAGGAACCUUCUGAGACAUUAUGUCUCAUCACGAGCAGAACACUGUCUUCAUUGGGUCACACUGCAGGUUUUAUGAAGAUCACAGAUCAUUCCUGACCUUGGUCCCUGCCGGCGGUCAGUCUGAGGAUCUCCUCUCUCAGUCCGGCCAUCUCCUGCUCGAGCUCUCUGUUCCUGCGCUCGGCUUUGUGCACACGCCUGGAGAACAUCAACAGCACUGUAUUUACUAGCAGUACAUCAAUACUAC